AGUACCAAACUAGAUUUUUGACCGAUGAGGUCACCAUUUGACUGGUGGGUUGUUUUUAGGCAAAUAAUUUCAGCCUCCCCAAUCGCCUCCAUCUAUAUUCUUGUUCUCAACUCUGAACUUGCCCUCUCUCUCUCUCUCUCUCUCUCUCUCUCUCUAUCUCCAACUUCAAACUACAAAAUCUACAAGAAUCAGAAGUUCAAAACCCAUUUAUUUCAGUUUAUCUAUCUGAAUCAAAAGUUCAAACCCUAUUACCAAUAUCAAAACCCAUAUCGGCAUUGUUAUGAAUUUGUCAAAGUUGUCUUUCAAGUUGUCCUGUUUUUUAGGCAUUUUGUUAGUUUAUUUUAUUGUUGUAGAUCAUGUGUUAGUGGUCUAGAGUUUGUUGCUAUUUUUCAGUCUAGUUCAGUUGAUGUAUUGCCUAUUUAAAGGCCAUUAGUUAAUUGAAUAAUAUGUGCUCAAAAUAUAUCUUUUCUCUAAUUUGAUUACUUUGAUUCUAAAUUGUUUUUUGGUCUUUGUACUUAUCUGAUUAGCCUUCGAUUUGUAACAGUGGUAUCAGAGCCACCGAGAAUGAAAAAGUGAGUUUGAGAGUGCAGCAGCAACAAAUUCAUUUAUUGCAGUAGCAGUUCUUUCAUGGCUUCUGAAAGCUUUGUGAAACCAAGUAUUCCACGCUUUGAUGGUCACUAUGACCAUUGGAGCAUGCUAAUGGAGAAUUUCAUGCGCUCUAAAGAGUAUUGGCAGGUGAUUAUUUCUGGAGUAGCAGAAUCAGCAGCCGGUACAGUGUUGACGGAUGCGCAGAAGACAGAGGUUGAAGCACUGAAGCUGAAGGAUUUGAAGGCAAAGAACUAUUUUUUUUUAGGUAAUUGAUCGUUCUAUCUUGGAGACAAUUCUUUGCAAAGACACUUCUAAGCAGAUUUGGGACUCCAUGAAAAAGAAGUACCACGGGACAACAAAGGCAAAGCGAGCACAACUCCAAGCUCUUCGUGCUGAUUUUGAGACUUUACACAUGAAGACUGGAGAGUCGGUGGCAGAUUACUUCUCGAAGACUUUGGCAAUCGCAAAUAAGAUGCGGAUUCAUGGCGAAAAGUUAGAAGACAUCACUAUCAGUGAGAAGAUUCUUCAUUCAAUGACAGCUAAAUUCAACUAUGUUGUUUGUUCGAUUAAAGAAUCUAAUGAUACAACAGGACUUUCCAUUGAUGAAUUGCAGAGUUCUUUGUUAGUUCAUGAGCAGAAAAUUAAUCGGCAAGAUAAGGAGGAACAAGCUUUACAAGCCUCAUCUAAUAAUUCUUUCUUGACAUCAAAAGGAGGUGGUUGAGGAAGAGGAAGGGGCAGAAACAACAAUGAUGGUAGAUACUCACAUCAGAGAUUUGAAGAUAAUCAGUUUUCUAACUCUCAAGGAAGAGGAAGAGGUUAUGACAACAAUGAUGGUAGAUACUCACAUCAAAGAUUUGAAGAUAAUCAGUUUUCUAACUCUCAAGGAAAAAGAAAAGGUCAUGACACUAAUCAUUCAACUUCUUUCAAGCCAAAAUUGUUAGAUAAAUCAAAAGUCGAAUGCUUCAGGUGUCAUAGGUAUGACCAUUACAAGUCUGAAUGUCGAACUAAUUUAAAUAGAAAUGGUGGUGUAAAAUCUAAUUUUGCAGAAAGGAAGAAAAAGUGUCUUUAUUGAUGGCUUGUCAUGUGAAGGAGGAAAACCAGAAGAAUUUGUGGUACUUAGACACAGGUUGCAGCAACCAUAUGUGCGGAGACAAGUCUGUCUUCUCUGAUUUGGAUGAAUUUUUUCGUGAUUCUGUGAAGUUUGGUGAUAAUUCUAGAGUAUCUGUCAUGGGCAAAGGAAAUGUAAAAAUCCACACCAAAGAAAACUCCAAUCAGAUUAUUUCUAACAUUUUCUUUAUUCCAGAUUUGAAACACAACUUGCUAAGUAUUGGUCAGAUCCAAGAGAAGGGAUAUGAGAUUUCUAUCAAAGAUGGAGUCUGUCGCAUUCAAGAUGAAAAGUUGGGCUUAAUUGCUUAAGUCAACAUGACGACAAACCGGAUGUUUCCGUUGUAUCUUGAUAACACCACCCAGUCAUGUUUUUCUAUGAGAUUGAAGAACGAGGCAUGGCUAGGGAAUUUUCACUAUGGACAUCUGAAUUUUGGUGGUUUAAAGACACUACAUCAGAAGAACAUGGUGAUGGGCCUUCCGCAACUUCAGCACCUUUCUCAAAUUUGUGAAGAAUGUGUUGUUGGUAAACAACAUUGUGAUCAUUUUCCGAAAGGAAAAUCAUGGAGAGCGAAAAAGGUGUUGGAGCUGGUACAUUCUGAUAUAUGCGGACCCAUUAAUCCGACAUCGAAUGGUGGUAAAUGUUGUUUUAUAACAUUCAUUGAUGAUUAUAGUCGAAAAACAUGGGCUUAUUUUUUAUAGGAGAAGUUUGAAACAUUUUCAGCUUUCAAAAAUUUCAAGGCACUGGUCGAAAAAGAAGCGGGCUUGUCUAUAAAGAUUCUUUAUAGCGAUCGUGGUGGAGAAUACAACUCACAAGAAUUUGUAAAUUUUUGUGAGGCUCAUGGAAUUCAAAAGCAACUGGCAGCGGCUUAUACACCACAGCAAAAUGGUGUUUCAGAGAGGAAGAAUCGUACAAUCUUGAACAUGGUGUGGACUAUUUUGGCAAGAAGCAGGAUCCUAAGAUGUUUCUGGCCCGAAGCUGUCAAUUGGAGCAUUCAUGUAUUGAAUAGGAGCCCCACGCUUGCUGUUCAAAAUGUGACGCCUAAAAAAGCUUGGAAUGGAUGAAGACCAAGUGUUGAACAUUUCAGAAUUUUUGGGUGUAUUGCAUAUGCUCAUGUUCCAGAUGAAAAGAGAAAAAAGUUAGAUGACAAAGGCGAAAAAUGCAUUUUUCUUGGUAUUAGUGAUCAUUCAAAAGCUUACAAAUUGUAUAAUCCUAUCACCAAGAAAAUUGUCAUUAGCAGCGAUGUCGUAUUUGAUGAAGAUAAAAUUUGGUCUUGGAGCAGAAAUGGCGUUGGACAGUCAAUACAAACAGACUUUGAUGGUGAAAAUGAAGAGGAAACACAACAGCCUCAUCAACAACAAGCUCCAGUAAUUACUCUUAAAGAUACUCAAAACGAAGUUUCUACAGUAUCUGAAACUACAUCAGCAACAGCAGAACAUGAUGAACAGGUUGAUGCUAUAGUAGGUUCACAUUAUCAACGUGUUAGACGAAGACUGUGAUCCAGCAACUUUCGAAGAGGCUAUCAAAGAAUCAAAGCGGCAAAAAGCUAUGGACACUGAAAUUAUGGCCAUCGAAAGAAACAACACUUGGGAGUUGACGAAGCUUCCAAAAGGGUUAAAGACCAUUGGUGUGAAGUGGGUGUACAAGACAAAACUGAAGGAGAAUGGUGAAGUUGACAAAUACAAGGCAUGCUUGGUAGCCAAGGGCUACAAGCAAGAGUUCGGCAUCGACUAUAAAGAGGUUUCUGCACCAGUUGCAUGACAUGACACAAUCAGAUUGGUGAUUGCAUUGGCAGCUCAAAACUCAUGGCCUAUCUUCCAGUUGGAUGUGAAAUCAGCAUUUCUACAUGGAGACUUACAAGAAGAGAUAUUUGUUGAUCAACCUCCUAGUUAUGUGAAGCUAGGUAAUGAGCAUAAGGUAUAUAAGUUGAAAAAGGCUCUAUAUGGGCUGAAACAAGCUCCGAGAGCUUGGUAUAGCCGUAUAGAUGCUUAUUUUCUGAAGGAAGGUUUUAGAAGAUGUCCGUAUAAGCAUACACUUUUAUUAAAAUUGAAGAUAGAGGAAAGAUGCUUUUUAUGUGCUUAUAUGUAGAUAAUUUAAUUUACACUGGCAAUGAUAGGGCUAUGUUUGAAAAAUUUAAGAAAUCCAUGAUGGUUGAAUUUGAUAUGUCUAAUUUUGGAAUGUUGCAUUAUUUUCUUAGCAUUGAAGUGGUUCAAUCUGCUGCUGAAAUUUUUAUUUCUCAAAAGAAAUAUGUGGAAGAAAUUUUAGAUAGGUUUCAGAUGAAGAAUUGCAAUUCAGUGAGUACACCAACUGAGUUUGGUUUGAAGCUAAAUAAAGAUCAUGAAGGUAAGAAGGUCGAUAGCACUCUUUGCAAGCAUAUUGUGGGAAGUUUAAUGUAUUUAACUUCAACAAGGCUAGAUAUAAUGUAUUCCGUGACUCUCAUCAACAGGUACAUGGAGAAUCCCACAGAGAUACAUCUUCUCGCUGCCAAGAGGAUACUUCGGUACUUGCAAGGUACUAUGGAAUUUGGGUUGUUUUACAAGAAGGGAGAAAAGUCAGACUUGAUUGGCUUUACUGACAGCGAUUAUGCAGGGGAUCAAGAUGAUAAAAGAAGCACUUCAGGCUAUGUUUUUAUCCUUGGUUCAGGGGCUAUUUCAUGGUCAUCAAAGAAGCAGCCAAUCGUCACUUUAUCAACCACUGAAGCUGAAUUUGUUGCUACAACCUCAUGUGCAUGCCAAGCUAUAUGGUUGAAGAAAAUUCUUGAAGAGCUUAAUUUCAAGAGAUAAGGGCCUACUGCAAUUUUUUGUGACAACAACUCAGCAAUCAAACUCUCAAAAAAUCCUGUUUUGCAUGGAAGAAGUAAGCACAUAGAUGUGAAGUUUCAUUUUUUAAGAGAUCUCACAAAGGAUGGAACAAUUGAGCUCAUUUACUGCAGAAGUGAAGAUCAGGUUGUAGACAUAUUCACAAAGCCCCUCAAAUUGCCAUCAUUUCUGAAGUUAAGAGAUUUAAUGGGUGUUUGUAUGCUAGAUAUUUGAGGGAGCUAAUUUUUUUUUUUUACCUGUGUAUUAAAUGGAAUGAUUGAAAACAUCAGUUUAAGGGAGGGUUUGUUAUGAAUUUGUCAAAGUUGUCUUUCAAGUUGUCCUGUUUUUUAGGCAUUUUGUUAGUUUAUUUUAUUAUUGCAGAUCAUGUGUUAGUGGUCUAGAGUUUGUUGCGAUUUUUCAGUCUAGUUCAGUUGAUGUAUUGCCUAUUUAAAGGCCAUUAGUUAAUUUAAUAAUAUGUGCUCAAAAUAUAUCUUUUCUC